rnacentral:tRNA from 1 species
GGGCUUAUGGUCUAGGGGUAUGAUACUCCCUUCGCAAGGACGUCUAGUCUGAAUGAAAUUGGGAGUGGUCCGGGGUUCAAUUCCCCGUGAGUCCA